rnacentral:rRNA from 1 species
CAGUCGCCGCGGGAAUACAGAGGGUGCGAGCGUUAAUCGGAUUUACUGGGCGUAAAGCGUGCGUAGGCGGCUUUUUAAGUCGGAUGUGAAAUCCCUGAGCUUAACUUAGGAAUUGCAUUCGAUGCUGGGAAGCUAGAGUAUGGGAGAGGAUGGUAGAAUUCCAGGUGUAGCGGUGAAAUGCGUAGAGAUCUGGAGGAAUACCGAUGGCGAAGGCAGCCAUCUGGCCUAAUACUGACGCUGAGGUACGAAAGCAUGGGGAGCAAACAGGAUUAGAUACCCGGGUAGUCCCUGUCUCUUAUAC